rnacentral:rRNA from 1 species
UACGGAGGGUGCAAGCGUUAUCCGGAUUCACUGGGUUUAAAGGGUGCGUAGGUGGGCUGGUAAGUCAGUGGUGAAAUCUCCAGGCUUAACUUGGAAACUGCCAUUGAUACUAUUAGUCUUGAAUACCGUGGAGGUCAGCGGAAUAUGUCAUGUAGCGGUGAAAUGCUUAGAUAUGACAUAGAAUACCCAUUGCGAAGGCAGCUAACUACGCGAUAAUUGACGCUGAUGCACGAAAGCGUGGGGAUCAAACAGG